rnacentral:rRNA from 1 species
AGUGAGCGCUGGCGGUAGGCCUAACACAUGCAAGUCGAACGGCAGCACAGUAAGAGCUUGCUCUUACGGGUGGCGAGUGGCGGACGGGUGAGGAAUACAUCGGAAUCUACUUUUUCGUGGGGGAUAACGUAGGGAAACUUACGCUAAUACCGCAUACGACCUACGGGUGAAAGCAGGGGAUCUUCGGACCUUGCGCGAUUGAAUGAGCCGAUGUCGGAUUAGCUAGUUGGCGGGGUAAAGGCCCACCAAGGCGACGAUCCGUAGCUGGUCUGAGAGGAUGAUCAGCCACACUGGAACUGAGACACGGUCCAGACUCCUACGGGAGGCAGCAGUGGGGAAUAUUGGACAAUGGGCGCAAGCCUGAUCCAGCCAUACCGCGUGGGUGAAGAAGGCCUUCGGGUUGUAAAGCCCUUUUGUUGGGAAAGAAAAGCAGCAGGUUAAUACCCCGCUGUUCUGACGGUACCCAAAAAAUAAGCACCGGCUAACUUCGUG